rnacentral:lncRNA from 1 species
GUCUUCUCCCAGCUAAUUUAAGAAAUGCAUCAUCUCUCGCUUUAUCUUAGGAUCAUUUUGGCUUCUUGAUGUCCAUCCUCGGAGUUGAAAGUUCACAGCCCCAAGGGGUAUUAUUGGAAAGUGUUUAUUUGAGAGGGUUUAAGGGAAAUCAAUGGCUUGGAAAGGUCCUUUAGCUUUAUAUUUUCCUCAUCUACCUGGAAUAGAGAGAGAAAAACUCCAGGAACAACAUCCUGAUGGAAACUUUGGAGCAAUGUGGCUGUUCUUUGGCUGCAGGCAUAAGAACAGAGAUUAUUCAGGUAUGCCACAGUUCUAGGAUUUUAAUGCUCAACCACUGAAUGUAUAAUUUUUAAUGUCAGGUGUUUUUUUUUUUUUUUUAAUUAUUUUUUAGCAGGUACCAGUUGGAUAUCAGAUGCGGACCUUGGAGGUAGGAAGUAGGCGCUCAAACCACUGAACUACCUGCUCUCCAUCAUUCAGGUGCUUUUAGCUUAAGUUACCAACCUGCCAGUGACCCAUUCAUUAUGUGUUCUCUUUCAGAGAGGAGCUCAGCCAUUUUCCUAAGCGUGGGGUCUUAACUGACCUGAAGGUUUUCUUCUCGAGAGAUGUGCCUGUGGGGGAGGAUGCCCCAGCCAAGGAUGUGCAAGACAACAUCCGGCUUCACUGCAAGCAGGUGGUGAGAAUCCUCCUCCAUGCAAGCGGCUCUAUUUACAUGUGUGGGUAAGUGGCCAUGCUGCGUACAAGCCGGAUAGGAGAAGGCAGUGGAUGUUUAUAAAAGAAACAGAAGUCUCAUCAUUUGAGAAUCUAGGUGUGCAGUGUUGACACAUCUGAUUCUCAAGUACAGGAAUAGAAAUGCAGUUGGAAAAUGAUUCUAACAUAUGUUUCAUAGCCAAGAGUUGUCAUCAUUAGGGAAAUAGUCGGAAAAAGUAGUUGUGUCUGCUUUGAUUUUGUUACAUAUAAGAAUUGGUGAUAUCUGCAGUUG